CGUAACAUUCACCCUUGAAGCGUGCGUUCGAGUUGUUUGAAUUCAAAUUCUUUUGAGUACUUGUCAUGUGAAACCGUAAAUACACCAUUGUUGAACUUUAAAAUACUCUCGGGACCGUUUCGUAACAAAUAUAAACUAUUGGGGGUUGUUUGGUAAUAUAAUUAACCAAAAUUGGACAGAUUUAGUUAAAGCAAUUCAAGGGAGUGACUGGAAUGGUUUAAUCUUUGAGUCUUGGAUUGGUAUUGUUAAGAAAUCUCCAUGGGAGGGGAUGUUUUAAAUAAAACACACCAAAGUUUGUGGAAUGUACUCAUUUAAGUGAGGGUGUAUUUUGCUCAUUUUAUAAAUACAAAACGAUUUUAGGGCUUUUAUAAAAGGAAAUGUCAUGGAGGGACUGUUUUUGUUUAGAAGACUAAACUAAGGAAAAUUAGGGCUUUUAAACCUUUUUUUUUGAUCGGGUAAGGAGAAGAACGCUACGAACGAAAGCAAGCGAUGAGGAUGGUGAUGGCGAUGGCGACUGAAAGGUUCACGAGGGGCUCACAGAUGACACAACGAUUCGUCGAUCGAUUGCAAAGUGGUGGCUGUCUCGGGGGUUCGACUUGAGCGAAGCCACGCAGGUGCGAAGAAGCAGCGGGGCUGCGUUCUUGCUUCUCCGUCGAUAGGGUGCGAAGGAAAAAAGGGCAUCUUCGGGGUUGACGAAGCCGAAGGAAAAGAAAGAGGGGAAGCAGCGAGGAUUUAGGUCCGACGAUUUCUCCCUGGCUCGUGCGUCUUGUAGCCGACAGAAGUCAAGGAGGUUACAUCUCCGGAGCUUGGUUCAUCGGAGAGGCGAGAUGUCCGAAAGAAGGUAGAAAAGGGCGAAAGCAUCGUGCUUAGUCAGCGAGGAAAAAGAGAGCAACCGACGCCGACAGGUCUUCAUCUCUGAUUUGGGUCGAUCUCUUCGCUUGAUCAGAAAGGAAAGACGAAGGCAUCAACUAUCAAUAACAGGUAAGGGUUUCUACUUUUUUUUUUAUUGUUCUUGACAAAAUUGAUUUAAUGAACUGGGAUGUUUGAUAGGGAAAAUGAACUAGAUUCAGAUUUUUUUUUAUUGUUUCAUUUGGCAGAAAUUUUGAAGAAGAGAAAGAAAAUUUUUUCCUUUUGUGUUCAUGUAUCUUGGUGAAUACGAAGAAGUAGGCAGGAACCAGAAAUAUAUAGGUGUUUGCGUGUUAGAAUUUUUAACAUUGUACAUGUUUUGUUUGAGUGAUUAGUAGGUGGAGUGCUGUAAGGGAAAGAAAACAUAAACGUGUGUUCUUGUUGCUUGACAGGAAGAAGAUGAAAGGACAAUUGUUUUUGAGUUUGGCUGCAGCUUCAAAUUUGAAAGGGAAACGCAUUUUCUUUUCCUUUUGAGUGUCUAAUUGUUUCAAAGUAUUACUUAUAAGUAAUUUUGCUUUAUUUAUUUAUUUAUUUAUUAGUAAUUUGGCUUUAUUUAUUUAUUUGUAUUUGGUAGAUUAAAUAGAUGUAUUUGUGUACCAAUGUUUCUUUUAUUAUAUUUCCCAUGAAUUCAUUUCUA
rnacentral:lncRNA from 1 species